rnacentral:rRNA from 1 species
UAGAUAUCGAGAGGAUCACCCAGUGAGGAUGACGUCAUCCUGAGCUACUCGCGAUGGCGUAGGAGAAAGCUAGGGGAGCAAACGGGAUUAGAAACUCCAGUAGUCCUAGCAGUAAACGAUGCAUGCUUGGUGUGUGGGGUGUAGAUUCCCUCCUUACCGCAGUUACCGCGGUAAUCAUCCCGCCUGGUGACUAUGGCCGCAAGGGUCAAACUCAAACGAAGAGUCGGGGGCCCGCUCAAGCAGUGGAGCUUGUGGUUGAAUUUGAUGCUACACUAAGAACGUUACCUUGGCUUGAUAUACAGGUAGUAGUGAAAUGAAAGCGGAUCGACCGUUAGUGGAGCACGUACAGUUACUGCAUGGAGGUCUUCAUCUCACACUGGGAGGUGUUGGGUUAAGUCCUGUAACGAGCGCAACCCUUGCUUUUAGUUAUAUGUGUUUAAGAGGACGGCCGGCGGUAAGCCGGAAGAAGGUGGGGAAGACUUUAAGUCAGCAUGGCCUUUAUGUCCAGGGUUACACACACGCUACAAUGGCCGGUACAAUGGGUAGGUAAACCCCGAGGGGGAGCCAAUCCAGUAAACCCGGUGUCAGUUCCAAUUGCAGGAUGCAACUGGCGUGCAUGAAAUUGGAGUUGGUAGUAAUCGCCGGUCAUCAAUACUGCGGUGAAUACGUUCCCGGGCCUUCUUCACCCCGCCCGCCACGUCAUGGAAGUUGGCAACACCAGGAGCCGGUGACAUCACCUCAAAGGGAGGCAACUGUCGAAGCGAGCCCCCAGACUGGGACGAAGUCGUAACAAGGUAACCAAGGGCGAA